rnacentral:lncRNA from 1 species
ACAAAGGAAGUGGCUUUUCUGGUGCCAGGAAACACAGGAUCAGGCAUAUGUUGAGUACAGACUGCCAACUGAGCUACAGCUGUGACUGAGACUUUUGUGUUUCAUAAAUACUUUGUGUUUUAUAAUACAGUCAAUACGUAGUCCGGGCUGCCUUCAAGUUUGUGAUCCCUCCUCUUAGCCUUAUAACUACCAGGAUCAUCGGUAUGGACCACCAUGGACGGCAACUGGUAUUGUAUACAGGCUAUUGGCAGGUAAUUAAAACUGGGGGACUGUCCUCUGUACUUGUCUUGGGAAGGUGAGAAAAAGAAUAUAAUUUUGUAAGUUUGUUCUCAUUAGAUUUUAUUUUAGCUCUAUUUCACUUUUCAACUCUAGUAAAAAUAAAGAAAAUUUCAAUGUUUAAAAUA